GAUGAACGCUAGCGGCAGGCUUAAUACAUGCAAGUCCAGGGACAGCACAGGUAGCAAUACUGGGUGGUAACCGGCAAACGGGUGCGGAACACGUACACAACCUUCCUUUACGUGGGGGAUAGCCCAGAGAAAUUCGGAUUAAUACCCCGUAAUAUAGUUGAAUGGCAUCAUUUGAUUAUUAUAGCUACGGCGCUUAAUGAUGGGUGUGCGGCUAAUUAGAUAGUUGUCGCGGUAACGUCCCACCAAGUCUACGAUCAGUAGCUGAUAGGAGAGCAUGAUCAGCCACACGGGCACUGAGACACGGGCCCGACUCCUACGGGAGGCAGCAGUAAGGAAUAUUGGUCAAUGGACGCAAGUCUGAUCCAGCCAUGCCGCGUGAAGGAUUAAGGUCCUCUGGAUUGUAAACUUCUUUUAUUUGGGACGAAAAAGGGCCUUUCUAGGUCAACUGACGGUACCAGAUGAAUAAGCACCGGCUAACUCCGUGCCAGCCGCCGCCGUAAAAC
rnacentral:rRNA from 1 species